rnacentral:rRNA from 1 species
ACGGGAGGCAGCAGUGGGGAAUAUUGGGCAAUGGGCGAAAGCCUGACCCAGCAACGCCGCGUGAAGGAAGAAGGUCUUCGGAUUGUAAACUUCUUUUAUAAGGGACGAAGGAAGUGACGGUACCUUAUGAAUAAGCCACGGCUAACUACGUGCCAGCAGCCGCGGUAAUACGUAGGUGGCAAGCGUUAUCCGGAUUUACUGGGUGUAAAGGGCGCGUAGGCGGGAAGGCAAGUCAGGUGUGAAAUCUAUGGGCUUAACCCAUAAACUGCACUUGAAACUGUCUUUCUUGAGUGCUGGAGAGGUAGACGGAAUUCCUUGUGUAGCGGUGAAAUGCGUAGAUAUAAGGAAGAACACCAGUGGCGAAGGCGGUCUACUGGACAGUAACUGACGCUGAGGCGCGAAAGCGUGGGGAGCGAACAGGAUUAGAUACCCUGGUA